GGCUCUCCUCUCCUGAAGCUGAUCAUCUAUCUCUUAAGAUGUAUUAAAGCUUUACUGCAGAAGGAUCCGAGUGGCCUGCGUGCGUUUUGCUGUAUCAGGAUAAUAGUGGAUGUGAAGUGCCAGAGACCAGCUCCAGUUGCAAGGUUCAGGUCCUGAGACAGGGAAGGGGUGAAGACACUGAAGGGGUGAAGACACUGAGCACCUGCUGACUUUCAAGUUAUAGAGUACUGAGAUUUGAAAGAAAGCAUCAAGAAAUUGCAACAUGAAUGAUGGAUGAAGUAAAUCAAGAUGGAUUAACAGCUGUGGUAUAUAUAGCUGUGAGCAUUGCAAAGCAUCAUGCAAGCACAGGCAGAGCACACUUGGAACUGGAAAGAGGAAGACUGGAGAGCUACACAGAUCUCCAAGGACUUUAACUUUUCAGUCCUUUGUUCAUUGUGAUGGCUUUUAGGCCUCUACCAAAGCUCUGCUUUUAUUUUGAGAACUCUCUUUCCUUCAAUCUUUUAACAUCCCUUUAUCAAUUUAAAUAAAACACAUCUUGUUUAUUUUGUCUGC
rnacentral:lncRNA from 1 species